rnacentral:rRNA from 1 species
GAUGAACGCUAGCGGCAGGCUUAACACAUGCAAGUCGAGGGGCAGCACGGGUAGCAAUACCUGGUGGCGACCGGCGCAAGGGUGCGUAACGCGUGAGCAACAUGCCCUAUACAGGGGGAUAAUCCAGGGAAACUUGGUCUAAUAUCCCAUAGUAUUUAGAGGAGGCAUCUUCUAUAAAUUAAAGCUUCGGUGGUAUAGGAUUGGCUCGCGUGACAUUAGCUAGAUGGUGAGGUAACGGCUCACCAUGGCAAUGAUGUCUAGGGGUUCUGAGAGGAAGGCCCCCCACACUGGUACUGAGACACGGUCCAGACUCCUACGGGAGGCAGCAGUAAGGAAUAUUGGGCAAUGGAGGCAACUCUGACCCAGCCAUGCCGCGUGCAGGAAGACGGCCCUACGGGUUGUAAACUGCUUUUAAAGGGAGUAAUUGUUAGUUACGAGUAACUAAUUGCAAGUACCUAUAGAAUAAGGAUCGGCUAACUCCGUGCCAGC